UGUCAUUUUAGGCGAAAAUUGAAAGGGAAAAAGGGUCUGAUCCUUAAGAUUAAUGAGGUGCCAGUGCGCAAAGGCAGCCCUCAAAAUUCAGUUCAGUGUUAUGACUAGUUGCCGAAGUUUUAACGAACAUGAAAGUGGUUUGUAGCGUGAAAUCCUGUGGAGGUGGUUGGGCAACACUGUGCUGUGACUGGCGCAGAGAUGGCUGGAAACGUAGGGGGUUAGGAGUUGAGGAAGACGGGAUGGAGUAUAGUGUUGGAGUCGUGAGAGUAAAGGUUAAGAAGAGGACGCCUGAGGAGCCGUUGCAGUUCUUGUCGGGGGAGAGGAGGGAUGUUCGGUUCGCAGUGUUGUACUGAGAUAAAUGGAGUUCAUGGUGUUGGUGAAAGGUGAGGACGACGGUGGGGUCACUGCGAAGUGGCCUGCUAUGACAAGACAUCGGAACACCACGAUGCUGACGCGACGAAUGCUCCAUACCAAACAACUAUGGACUCUAGUGUGCAUGUGGUGUGAGUGUUCCCGAGCGUGUCCUUAUGUUUUGUUUUGUGUUGCUUUUAUCCUGUAACCUUUUAAUAAUAAGACAGAUAUUAAAGAACCGUAAACUGUC